UACGUAGGGUGCAAGCGUUGUCCGGAAUUAUUGGGCGUAAAGAGCUCGUAGGCGGUUCGUCACGUCGGCUGUGAAAUCCCGAGGCUCAACCUCGGGUCUGCAGUCGAUACGGGCGGACUGGAGUACUGCAGGGGAGACUGGAAUUCCUGGUGUAGCGGUGAAAUGCGCAGAUAUCAGGAGGAACACCGGUGGCGAAGGCGGGUCUCUGGGCAGUAACUGACGCUGAGACGCGAAAGCGUGGGGAGCAAACAGG
rnacentral:rRNA from 1 species